rnacentral:rRNA from 1 species
CACGUAGGGGGCAAGCGUUGUCCGGAUUCAUUGGGCGUAAAGAGCUCGUAGGCGGUUCGAUAAGUCGGGUGUGAAACCUCCAGGCUCAACCUGGAGACGCCACCCGAUACUGUCGUGACUAGAGUCCAGUAGGGGAGCGUGGAAUUCCUGGUGUAGCGGUGAAAUGCGCAGAUAUCAGGAGGAACACCCGUAGCGAAGGCGGCACUCUGGGCCGAUACUGACACUGAGGAGCGAAAGCGUGGGGAGCGAACAGG